ensembl:lncRNA
GCAGUGUGUUGAAUGAAUUGGAGGUCCCACAAACAGAAACACAAACACCAUGAACUCCCAGGGCAGCUUUGGCAGCAGCUUUUUGUUUCAGUCCAUCAACGAUGAACUGAGCGCAUCUUUGGCCACAGCAGAUGAGCUUUCACGGGAAUUCAGCUCUCUCCUGUCAGAAGCCACUCCUGUCGUGCAAACCACUACUUCAGAGAGUUCUGGCCCCAAACCCCAGAGCAACAGCAAUGGCAAUGGCAGUUUGUACAGCGCAAACAAGAAUGGAAAUGAGAGCAUCAGUACAAACUUCUCCUUUUCCCAGAGCUCCAUGAGCAGCCAGAGCUCAGACUCCAGCAUCAGCAGGAAGGAAUCUAACCUGGACCUUCCUCCUGCUGUCACAAUUCGAUCUACAUCUCCUGCACCUCACCUAGACAGUAUGAAAUUCAAGCCUUCAUCUCCUAGUCCUUUAACCCAGCAGCAUUCCUCUUUUACAAACCGUAAAGACAGCUCGGAUUCACGAUAUUCCUUCAACCAAAUGACUCCCCCUAAUAUGUCUCCAAAUACAAUAAGACAAAUGACACAGAUGCCGUUGAGACCUCAAGAUCGAAGCACAAGAGGAUCGUUGAGUUAUGGGGAACUAUCCAGCCCUUCUUAUGAAAACAAAACAUCUCGCACCUCACUGCAGCCCUCAGCGAGCCCCAUGUCUUCGAUUCCUAGGUCUCCGAGGUUGGAUCGAGCACCUUCUCAUCAGCCUUUUAGUCAACCAGCAGCCAGUACGCUUCCACGCAACUUCCAGCCAUUCAGACCCUUAGAAGAAGGAAUGCAGAGGCAAAAGAACCCACCUAAGUGGAAUGAGACUGACCUGGAUGCAUCAUACGAAAGAAAGCCUCACCACACCUAUGACACGGUCAAUAAACAGAACUGCACACAUCCCGUGGAAGAACAUUCUUACCAGAGCUACUCCUCCAAGUUUAUGUCUAUGGCGAUUCACGAAGAGAAUGAAUGGAUCAGACAAUCUGUACCCAACAGCAACUGGAAAGAAUCAAACCUGGACGCACCUCCUGCUGCUAAGAAGGAUGCUGUGUCCCGUUCGCUCCCAUCAUUCCACAGCUCGCUCCCGAGGAACACUCGUAUCUCAGUGCCCCCUGAACUCGCCACAAGCACAAGCUCACCUUACGGCCCUCAGCAAAUCAUUUCCCGUAUCUCCAUUCCACCUGCAAGCUCUGGAGUCCGUAAGCAGAGGCCGAUCCCGCUUUCUUUCAUCAUGAGUCUACAGAACCCUUACUAUGCUGAGGUUGUCAGCAGAUACGCCCCUGGGCCAAUGGGAGAGCCCAAGCAUCUUCCCCUGCCCCGAGAGAACCUGCGGCAAAAUCAGGCACCUCAACCUCCGCAACCUCAAAGACAAACUCCCUACUAUAGAGAAGAAGUACUUCACCCUGGAGAUGUUGAUGCUGAGCUUGAGAGACCGGACAAAACAGAAGGCCCUGUGUACUUAACCAACCAAGGCAUGAAACCAGAAGAAGAGGGUAAAGUGGAGGAUACAGAGAUGCCUCCUCGCCCUCUCAGCCCCACACGUCUACAGCCCGUGGUGGCCCCACAGGCGGAGUUGGACACUGACGUGGACGAAGUGAUGCGUAUCCGGGCCGAGUUCCCCAGGGCCCUGAAGAAACGCAGCUCAGGAGAAAUUCCUCAGACCCUGCACAACCUGCCCCUUACCCAACCGCCCAACCAUUACAAGCAAAUGAUCAAUAAACUGUUUCGCAGGAAGACCACCCGUGUCAAAGGAGAACCAGCUGUUGAAAGUAGCAGCUCUUCAGAUGGGGAAGACACUUCCAAAUCUGCUGUAGCUACAGUUCCAGUACCAAUCAAAGAGAUACAGGUCUCUGCUGAACAGAAGGGUAUUCACUCUAUCUUACGGAAGGGCAGCAAAUCCAAUAAAUCCUCCAGGCGUAGGGCUCACCUGAGCCCACUGGUGCUGAUGUUGGAUGGGUCUUUAGUAGGAGAGUUAGAAACUGUGCAGAGGGCUGCGCAGGAGACGAGUGACCCAAGCCAGGCUAAUGAUGAAGGCAUCACAGCCCUUCACAAUGCCAUCUGUGGUGGACACUUCCCAGUGGUGGAGUUUCUUGUGCGGAUAGGGGCUAACAUUAGCGCUCCAGACAGCCACGGCUGGACACCCUUGCACUGUGCUGCAUCCUGUAAUGACCGGAAAAUGUGUGAGUUUCUGGUGCGGAACGGAGCAGCGGUGAUGGCCGUGACAGACAGCGAUGGGGCCACAGCGGCACAGAAGUGUGACCCCUACGCCCCGGGCUUCGAGGAGUGUGAGAGCUUCCUGAGAGGUGUGGAGGAAGCGAUGGGUGUAGAGAACAGUGGGGUGGUGUACGCUCUUUGGGGAUAUCCUGCCCAGGCUCCAGACGAACUGAGCUUCAAAGAAGGAGACAUGGUGACCAUCCUGCAGAAGCCUGAAGGGGUGGACUGGUGGUGGGCUUCACUGUGUGGCAGGGAGGGCUUCGUACCAAACAACUACUUUGGGCUUUUUCCGAAAGUGCGGCCUAAAUCACUCUGCUGAACACAUCCACGAACAUAAAAGACAAUAGCGAUCAAUGCUUCUGAAUCAUGCAGGACAAGUCUGAAAGCAGGUUUCACAUGUGUUUGAAUAUGAGUUUUUUUCUCUUUUUUCUUCCCUUUAAAUUGUGUUUAGUGAACAGCUAUGAUGGGAUUUUAAACAUGCACACUGUACAGCUUUUCUCUAUAGACCACCAUGACAAAGUCACUGAACUGGGAAUAGUUUUAGCUUGUAAAGCUAAGCAGUCUACCUAUUUUCUUUGGGAAUAGGGAUUCAGAUUAAUUGUAGGAGCAAACUGAACUGGAUUUGAUACAUAAAUGCAUUAAGUCUCCAAUAAUUUGUUUGUACGGAAAGGUUCAUUCUUUGUCUUGAGACUAAUGUUUUUCAGCACUGAGCAGGAAGGAAAUUCGUCAGUCUAUCAGUAUUGCUUUUGUUUAUGCAUACUUUGCAUGUUAGUGUAUCAGUUGUUAAUCAGUAAUGUUGCAUAGAUACAAAAAAGUUUUUUAGAUAUGUAUUUGAAUAACUGAUGUCCUAACUCAGCUUUGGAUUAUUUACAGUAUUCCACAUUAAAAACGUUAGCCUUUUUUAUGUAACUUUUAAACUUGUAUUUCCUGUCUGUUUUCACAGUGAUCUCUAUAUAGUAUGAAAUAUGAGCUAAAGUUUUCUUCUUUAAACAAUGUACUCUCCAUGUGGGUUGUGUAUUAAAUAUUUGCUUUGAUGUGAGGGAAGUUUGUUUUAGAGGUGUGUGUUGUGAGUGUGUGUGUGUGUGUUUGUGUGUUUUAUUUGCCUUGUUGAAUCCACUGACUGUGACUGUUAUGAAGACAGUGACAAAUUGUUACUCUCUGUAAUACUCUUGCACAAAAGAAAAAUAAAUAAAUACUAAUUGUAUUUGCGGUUUGUUUA